rnacentral:rRNA from 1 species
UGAAACCGUCUAGAGGCAAACGGAGAGGACCGUAUGGUCCGCCCGUCGGAUUCAGUCCGCCUGCGCGGCGACGACGACGGCCGCGCAUCCCUCGUGGGAGCGCGCCGGCGUCCGUYACGUCGUGCGGCGGCCGUACUUUCGGCGGGCGGAGCGCCACGACCGGUUCGUCGGCGGCGAGAAACUCCCGGGCAAGGUGACCUUCGUCUCGGCGCAGGAGCAUACAGGCCCGGCGAGCGCAGGCCCGUCGGCGGACCGAGGAAGACCGUCGCGGAGCGGCGUCGACCGCCCGUCGUGUGGACGCGUUCGACUCGGGGGGACUGGUUCCAGUGCCCUCGGACCGCGCGAUCGCAGCGGCGGGACGGCCCGGCGCCGCGCCUGGGGUCGGUGGCGAAACGGCCGGCAACCUGUCCGACCCGUCUUGAAACACGGACCAAGGAGUCUAACAUGUGCGCGAGUCGUUGGGCGCUACGAAACCCGAAGGCGAAAUGAAAGUGAAGGCCCGGUCUCCGGCCGGCCUGGGUGGGAUCCGGGCGGCUUCGGCCGUGCGGCGCACCACCGGCCCGUCUCGUUCGCCUCGUCGAAGAGGCGGAGCAAGAGCGUACACGUUGGGACCC